GGCGGCAUGCCUUACACAUGCAAGUCGAACGCGAAAGCGGGGCAGCCCGCAAGUAGAGUGACGAACGGGUGAGUAAUGCAUCGGAACAUUUCCAGUAGCGGGGGAUAACCUGUCGAAAGAUAGGCUAAUACCGCAUACGCCCCACGGGGGAAAGCGGAGGACCGCAAGGCUUCUCACUAUUGGAGUGGCCGAUGUCGGAUUAGCUAGCUGGCGGGGUAACGGCCCACCAAGGCGACGAUCCGUAGCUGGUCUGAGAGGACGAUCAGCCACACUGGAACUGAGACACGGUCCAGACUCCUACGGGAGGCAGCAGUGGGGAAUUUUGGACAAUGGGCGCAAGCCUGAUCCAGCCAUGCCGCGUGAGUGAAGAAGGCCUUCGGGUUGUAAAGCUCUUUCGGCGGGGACGAAAUGGUCCGUGCUAACACCACGGACUGAUGACGGUACCCGAAGAAGAAGCACCAGCUAACUACGUUCCAGCAGCCGCGGUAAUACGUAGGGUGCAGGCGUUAAUCGGAAUUACUGGGCGUAAAGCGUGCGCAGGCGGUUUGUUAAGACAGAUGUGAAAUCCCCGGGCUUAACCUGGGAAUUGCGUUUGUAACUGGCAAGCUAGAGUGUGGCAGAGGGGGGUGGAAUUCCAAGUGUAGCAGUGAAAUGCGUAGAUAUUUGGAGGAACACCGAUGGCGAAGGCAGCCCCCUGGGCUAACACUGACGCUCAUGCACGAAAGCGUGGGGAGCAAACAGGAUUAGAUACCCUGGUAGUCCACGCCCUAAACUAUGUCAACUGGUUGUCGGGGAAGCAAUUCCUUGGUAACGAAGCUAACGCGUGAAGUUGACCGCCUGGGGAGUACGGCCGCAAGGUUAAAACUCAAAGGAAUUGACGGGGACCCGCACAAGCGGUGGAUUAUGUGGAUUAAUUCGAUGCAACGCGAAAAACCUUACCUACCCUUGACAUGUACGGAAUCUCGCAGAGAUGUGAGAGUGCUCGAAAGAGAACCGUAACACAGGUGCUGCAUGGCUGUCGUCAGCUCGUGUCGUGAGAUGUUGGGUUAAGUCCCGCAACGAGCGCAACCCUUGCCAUUAGUUGCUACAUUCAGUUGGGCACUCUAAUGGAACUGCCGGUGACAAACCGGAGGAAGGUGGGGAUGACGUCAAGUCCUCAUGGCCCUUAUGGGUAGGGCUUCACACGUAAUACAAUGGCAGGUACAGAGGGCAGCCAACCCGCGAGGGGGAGCUGAUCCCAGAAAGCCUGUCGUAGUCCGGAUUGUAGUCUGCAACUCGACUACAUGAAGCCGGAAUCGCUAGUAAUCGCGGAUCAGCAUGUCGCGGUGAAUACGUUCCCGGGUCUUGUACACACCGCCCGUCACACCAUGGGAGUGGGUUUCACCAGAAGUAGUUAGCCUAACCGCAAGGAGGGCGACUACCACGGUGAGAUUCAUGACUGGGGUGAAGUCGAAACAAGGUA
rnacentral:rRNA from 1 species